GAUGAAGAACGUAGUGAAAUGCGAUAAGUAAUGUGAAUUGCAGAAUUCAGUGAAUCAUCGAAUCUUUGAACGCACAUUGCGCCCGCCAGUAUUCUGGCGGGCAUGCCUGUCUGAGCGUCAUUUCAACCCUCAAGCAACUUCUGCUUGGUGUUGGGGAUCGGCCGUCAAACGCCGCCCCCGAAAUCUAUUGGCGAUCUCGCUGUAGCUUCCUAUGCGUAGUAGUAACAUCUCGCAUCUGGAGAGCGGCGCGGUCAUGCCGUAAAACACCCAACUUCUCAGGUUGACCUCAGAUCAGGUAGGAAUACCCGCUGAACUUAAGCAUAUCAAGGCGGAGGA
rnacentral:misc_RNA from 1 species